GGCCUCGUAGCUCAGCUGGUAGAGCGUACGCUGUACAAAAAGCAUAGGCGGUGUCCAUGCGUGGGUUUGAAUCCCAGCGAGACUA
rnacentral:tRNA from 1 species